AGUAACCUGCCUUGGAUGGGGAAUAACAGCUGGAAACAGCUGCUAAUACCGCAUAAUGCAGUUGGGUCGCAUGGCUCUGACUGCCAAAGAUUUAUCGCUCUGAGAUGGACUCGCGUCUGAUUAGCUAGUUGGCGGGGUAACGGCCCNCCAAGGCGACGAUCAGUAGCCGGACUGAGAGGUUGGCCGGCCACAUUGGGACUGAGACACGGCCCAGACUCCUACGGAAGGCAGCAG
rnacentral:rRNA from 1 species